GAAAAUUUAGUUUAAGAAAAACGGUAGGUUUGUAACUUUCAAUUAUUAAUUUAAUUUUCU
rnacentral:tRNA from 1 species